GGACUACCCGGGUAUCUAAUCCUGUUUGCUCCCCUAGCUUUCGUGCCUCAGUGUCAGGAGUUGUCCAGGGACUCGCCUUCGCCACCGGUGUUCCUCUCGAUAUCUACGCAUUUCACUGCUACACCGAGAAUUCCAGUCCCCCCUACAACCCUCUAGCGGAAUAGUAUUCAAUGCCAUUUCCGGGUUGAGCCCGGAGCUUUCACAUCAAACUUACCCUGCCACCUACGCACCCUUUACGCCCAGUGAAUCCGAACAACGCUUGGGACCUCUGUAUUACCGCGGCUGCUGGCAC
rnacentral:rRNA from 1 species